AUUUCACCACACUAUGUGUAUUACCUGGACUUCUGGGACAUGAGUGUAGCAUCAGAAAACAACGACGUUCAUCCCAACAUGACACUAGUAGGUCAGAUGUGGCAGACGCUACUUGGGUACAUAUGUCCGAACUGAUCUCUUAGACCCUCGAAUCCACACCUUUCAUCUGGUGUCAUGGCUUUGGUGGUUUGGUCAGGCGGUGAGGUGGCCGAGUGGUUAAAGCGUUCCCUCCCACGCCCAGGUCACAUUCUAUGUUUAGGUACGUUGUCUGAAGCUCAUCUCUGGUGUCCCUGACAUGGUAUUGUCUAAUACCAGUGAAAACGGCGGUACUUAUAAAACGGCGGUACUUAUAAAACGCGUACCUGGCUUCAGACUUGGCGCCCAAGACACCCGAGAUGUGAGGAGUACUAUUGUUGAUCUUUGUUGUAAAACAAUAGUGUUAGAUGAUAGUUAUUUCUUCUUACUCAGUGCAGUGUUAUACAGAUAAUAUUUCUUCCCUUU